rnacentral:lncRNA from 1 species
AGCGGCCACGGCUCGCGAGCCGCCUCCGCCCAACUUUCUUCCUCGGCUUUCUUAGUUUAUUUUCUUUCAGGCGCCCUAAUGGGUGGUUUUGACUUCUUGAUGGCACUGCGUAAUAAGUCAGUGUCACCCCUCUGAUUCCCGUCCCCGCACGCAUGAUCUUGUUAAGGAACUAGUCAUUUUACGCGGAGUUCGGUUGAAUGAGAAGAAUAGGUUGGCAGCACAGACUCGUGAGAGGAAGUAGAAGAAAAAGAGUCUUUGGCACUUGUUUAGCCGGAAUCUGAGAAUAAUUUUGAAAAGUAUUCUCUGGAACAAGGGGGUGGGCAGAAGCUGGCUCCUGUAAAAGGACUCCCUACAGGAAAACGGAGACCUGUAAUGUAGAACGACCGCCUCGCCUUACGGAUGGGAAGCUGAGGACAGUCGUCGCUGUAAAACUUUGACAGGUGCCCAAUAUGAGAUGAAAAGAACAAGGGAACCGGACCUAAGUCGUGUGAUAAGGGGCUCCAGGAAAGAAGCACCCCUCUGAAACUGGCCAGUAAGUCGUGUGAGACAGUGAUGGAGAAGGCUUUUUGUAUGAGAAACACGAAAGUUUUCGUUGUCUAAAAGGUAAUGGUGACAGAAUUCAAUAAAAAACGUUAAAAGAA